UCCACCCUAGCGUAUUGCGUAGGCGCCGGCGCCGAGGGGUGCGGAGGCGGGGCGGUGCCUAAGGUGGAGGGGAAAGAGGAGGAGCGGAAACCAUGACAACUCCCUUCUGGCCCUGGCUGUUCCCGGCCCCGCCGUUGCCCCUAGCAACCGGGAGACUUUGGCCGGCACUAAAAAGGAGAUUGGGAACAUCCCGAGUUCCUUCAGUGGAUCCUCAUAUGGCAUGAUGUUGAGGCCUUUUGCCAUUCUUUUCACCUUCGUUUGGACACGGAUCUUCAAAUUCUUUCCUCAGAUUGGCCCCCUGAACUGAAUAUGAUACCUCAGAUAUAGUCUUAUCAAGAUAAUGUGGGUAGAAGAGACCCCAUCAACCAUUUAACGGCAGAAUGGUACAGUGAAAAGACUGCUGGAUUUGAAGACAAAGGACCUGCAUUUGAAACCCACUUCUGACUCAUAUUACUUGUGUGUCCUUGGGCGAUUGGGGUUAAGUGACUUGCCCAGAAUCAUAUGGCUAGUAAAGCACAGCACCUCCUUUGAUUCCGGCAUUCCAUGCUGGGUGGUCCUGGGCCAGUGUCUCCCACUUCACACGGUCAAUUCCAGAGUUCUUCAGAGAGACCUUGAAAGUGUCCUUUUGUUGCUUCUUCUGACCUCCAUAGCCUCCCAAAGACUGAGCUAGCACUGGCAGUGUGUGAGUCAACCUCAUCAUUUAUGUGUACUUCCUUGAAAAGUAUACUGCCAAG